CACGUAAGGGCGAGCGUUGUUCGGAAUUAUUGGGCGUAAAGGGCGUGCAGGCGGUCAUGUAAGUCUGUUGUGAAAUCCCGGGGCUUAACUCCGGGGGCGCGAUGGAAACUGUGUGACUAGAAUCUUGGAGGGGAGUUGGAAUUCCUAGUGUAGGGGUGAAAUCUGUUGAUAUCAUGGGGAACACCAAAAGCGAAGGCAGUACAUUGGGCCACUCCUGACACUGAAACACGAAAGCGUGGGUAGCGAAUGGGAUUAGAAA
rnacentral:rRNA from 1 species